GCUCCAGUGGCGCAAUCGGUUAGCGCGCCGUACUUAUAUAACAGUAUCGGAGAAAUGCGGAGGUUGUGAGUUCGAGCCUCACCUGGAGCACUUGUUUU
ensembl:miRNA